CAGGUGCGGAACCAAUGGAGAAGUCACCACGACCUUGGCUAAGCCCCCCUCUGGAGAUGGGCUGCCUUCAAGAACACUCAAAAAAAUCACUGGAGCUGGACCAGAAGGAGGCUGGAAUAAGGUGGAUCCAGCUGUCACCUGCCUAGAUGAGGCCCACAACAAAUGGGACGGUUGUGGCCCGAGAAUGGAUCCACCUUGUUUCCUCCCAAGGACUGGAGGGGAACUGAAGGGCAGCUAUGAGGUGCAUCUCGCCGGCCAGAGAGGCGCUCAGUGCUGGGUGCGGAACCAAUGGAGAAAUCACCACGACCUUGGCUAAGCCCCCCUCUGGAGAUGGGUGAGUCUCACCAGGGCCCCAUCUGGGAAAACAAAACAGUCCCAUUGAUGAC
rnacentral:lncRNA from 1 species